CCCAGAGCAGUAAUGCACACCAUGCCUUCUGCUGUCCUUGCUGGUGGGACAGGGAGAAGGAAUGCCACCUGGAAAGGCUCCUCCACCUCUGCUGUCAUAGAGAAGUCACGCAGGCCUUGGUGCUGAGACCUGCAACUCAAUCUGUGGACAUGACCUUUUGGCAAGAGCCAAGCAUUUCCUGGGAAAUUUCAGAAGAAAAUCUCAAGGAAGCACCACAGAACUGAGAGAUCAAGAUGUUUCUAAGUCCCAGUGGGAGCAUCCAGCCAGUAGAUUGAAAUACACAAUGAUGGAGCAUCCCCCACAUCUGCAAAUAGCCAAUCCAUCAGAAGCUCCAGAGCUGGUCUAGGGAGCAGCGACAGGGCCAAGCUCCACCACCUGUGGUGCCCCUCUACACGAUUGUUUAAAUAAACACGAUGAUUGCA